rnacentral:tRNA from 1 species
GGGCGAUUAGCUCAGUGGGUUAGAGCGUACGGUUCACAUCCGUAAGGUCACUGGUUCGAGCCCAGUAUCGCCCACCA